AUUGAACGCUGGCGGCAGGCCUAACACAUGCAAGUCGAACGGUAACAGGAAGAAGCUUGCUUCUUUGCUGACGAGUGGCGGACGGGUGAGUAAUGUCUGGGAAACUGCCUGAUGGAGGGGGAUAACUACUGGAAACGGUAGCUAAUACCGCAUAACGUCGCAAGACCAAAGAGGGGGACCUUCGGGCCUCUUGCCAUCGGAUGUGCCCAGAUGGGAUUAGCUAGUAGGUGGGGUAACGGCUCACCUAGGCGACGAUCCCUAGCUGGUCUGAGAGGAGGACCAGCCACACUGGAACUGAGACAGGGUCCAGACUCCUACGGGAGGCAGCAGUGGGGAAUAUUGCACAAUGGGCGCAAGCCUGAUGCAGCCAUGCCGCGUGUAUGAAGAAGGCCUUCGGGUUGUAAAGUACUUUCAGCGGGGAGGAAGGGAGUAAAGUUAAUACCUUUACUCAUUGACGUUACCCGCAGAAGAAGCACCGGCUAACUCCGUG
rnacentral:rRNA from 1 species